rnacentral:rRNA from 1 species
UGGGGAAUAACUUAGGGAAACUUAAGCUAAUACCGCAUAAUGCAGCGGCUCGAUAUCGAGACAGUUGUUAAAGGAGUAAUCCGCCUAAAGAGCAGCCUGCGGCAGAUUAGCUAGUUGGUAAGGUAAUGGCUUACCCAAGGGCUACGAUCUGUAACCGACCUGAGAGGGUGGUCGGUCACACUGACACUGAAUAACGGGUCAGACUCCUACGGGAGGCAGCAGUCGGGAAUUUUGGGCAAUGGGCGAAAGCCUGACCCAGCAACGCCGCGUGAAGGAUGAAGUCUCUCGGGAUGUAAACUUCGUAAGAAUAGGAAGAAUAAAUGACGGUACUAUUUGUAAGGUCCGGCUAACUACGUG